CUCAGAGCGGCCUGCUGGCCCCGCCUGCCCUGGGCAGUGAAGGGCUUAGCACCUGGUCCAGCAGCUGCUGUGCUCGAGUUCUCGCGGGGCCUUAGCUGCCUCCCCGCGGGGCAGGGCUUGGGACCUGCAGCCCGCCAUGCCUGAGCUUCCCCCCGCCCCCGCCGUGGGCUCCUGUGCGGCCCGAGCCUCCCCGACGAGCGCCGCCCCCUGCUCCACGAUGCCCAGUCCCAUCGACCACCCAAGGGCUGAGGAGUGCGGGCUCACGGUUACAGGAUUCCCAUUUCAGAACUACGACCAUUUGAAAAAUAGAAGAUUUAAAGAUUGACGCAAAGUGCAUGUACCAUGAUACACCAGGUCUCAUCUCCUGAAUAUUUGUCCUGCCCUGAGUUUUCACCUGAGGCCACCUGUACAACUGACUAGAGUAGUUCCACUGAUUGCUAAAAUGGAACAGGCAGGAUUGGUAUUGACUGUCCAAGAGCAAAGUCAGAUACAGAGAUUCAUUGAUGGUAGGACAGAACACACUGGUGCUUGAAGAGAUGAAAGGAAGAAGUCUUUGCUGCUUACAGCUGCAAGUGAGAGAAGGCUGCC
rnacentral:lncRNA from 10 species